rnacentral:miRNA from 1 species
AGUGGUUCUAACCAGUUCAACA